GACUCUAUAGUAUAAAUGUAAAUAACAUUAAAUUGCAAGUUUAAAGAUGUGAGUGUUCACUAGGGUUU
rnacentral:tRNA from 1 species